rfam:Sordaria macrospora k-hell, WGS project CABT02000000 data, contig: 2.53
GGCCUCAUGGGCGCAACGGUAGCGCGUUCGACUCCAGAUCGAAAGGUUAUCCGUUCAAAUCGGGUUGGGGUCA